UCUAGGCGGCCGACCCAUUUUUUUUCAAGAGCAUCAUUCUUCUUCCCCUUCUCUUCCCUCACCAACACCAUACCCACGACUCCCAUUUUUUCCAUUCAUCAUCGUCAUACAUCACCGUCAUCAUUCACCUCACUGUCGGCCACUAAUCUGACCAUAUUCCACCCCCGACGUCCUUCCCUCUCUUUCUCUCUCUCGUUUUCUCUUUCUUCAUUCCUUUGGUUAUUACGGUCUCCACCUACUAGAUCUUGCUGUCGACGAUGCAAGCAUUGUCGACCUCCACCUUGCGAUGCUUCGAUCAUCACCACCACCCCUUCUAUGGUGUAUUAUUGCAUUCCGUCUCCGAUCGUAGGGUUUCAAAUUGAUUGCUUGGGUUUCUGGGUUAGCUCUUUUGGUCCACGUGUUUUUUACUUGGCUCUUGAUUUAUAAGCUCAAGUUGGUUUUGUUGGGAUUGCAAUUACUUUUGGUUUAUCUUGGGAGGCUUGUUUCAUUUCGGGCAUCAAAGGUAUCUGGACUAAAAUGCUAAGGGGAAUUCUUGUUCAAACUUUACUAUUGGCAAUCAUGUCAGUCGGAUGUGAUCGGGGAAAACAAUGCGUAGUCAUGCCAUCUUUUUAUUCAUUUUU